CAACAGGUUGGCUGAAAAGCUCUAAAUUGCAAUAUUGACUUAUUGAAAUUGGAGUGACUGACUAAGACAUGCUGUAAAAAUAUUAAUUUACGCAUUUCAGAAAGGUGUUGAAAGAAGAAAAUAAAAGGACUGUCAUUGUGCACAGCAUGGUCUUCAGCUCUAAACAUAACAAGGCAUUGUCCAGUACAACUGCUGUAGUUAUACAGAUCUCUAGUCCUACUGUUAUGUCCUCUCACCAGACUGCUAGACAAGAGAAGACAAAUCUCACCCUUAAAGUACAGCAGGCCAGACAUGAAAUUCAGGGCUCUGUUCAGACAGUUUCCUGACACCAACUUGAGAUUUGACAUUUUGCUGGCACUCCAAGCUGCACACCAAGCCUGUGUGUUUGAGAGUUCCUGGCACUUCACUAUCUUGUAGUCCUCAGAGCUGCCAAUAGCCUCUGCAAGCACUUAUAUGGUAAUCUCUUCUAAGAGACUUCUGGCAAGAUUCAACUGUGUAUUCACAUAAUCAACUAGCCAA